UACGAAGGGUGCAAGCGUUAAUCGGAAUUACUGGGCGUAAAGCGUGCGUAGGCGGUUUCUUAAGUCCGUUGUGAAAUCCCCCGGCUUAACCUGGGAACUGCGUCUGAUACUGGGAGGCUUGAGUAUGGGAGAGGGAUGUAGAAUUCCAGGUGUAGCGGUGAAAUGCGUAGAUAUCUGGAGGAAUACCGGUGGCGAAGGCGGCAUCCUGGACCAUAACUGACGCUGAGGCGCGAAAAGCUAGGGGAGCAAACGGG
rnacentral:rRNA from 1 species